CCCAUGAUCAAAUCGGAGUAAACAGACCGGCGAAUGAGCCGAAAAUUACGGAUAAAGCCCGACAGUGCCACUGCAUAAAAAACUAAAAAUCACCUCCGGUGAGCCCCUUCCCGAUUCUCGUCUCGUGCGAUUUUUUCACUAUUAUAUUCAUCAUUCUAUUUUCUACAGUUUGACUGAAGAAAAAUGUCCAACUGCGAAGGUGAGCUGG
rnacentral:lncRNA from 1 species